rnacentral:rRNA from 1 species
UNUGACUUGAGUGCAGAAGGGGAGAGUGGAACUCCAUGUGUAGCGGUGAAAUGCGUAGAUAUAUGGAGGAACACCAGUGGCGAAAGCGGCUCUCUGGUCUGUCACUGACGCUGAGGCUCGAAAGCGUGGGUAGCGAACAGGAUUAGAUACCCUGGUAGUNCACGCCGUAAACGAUGAGUGCUAGGUGUUAGGCCCUUUCCGGGGCUUAGUGCCGGGGCUAACGCAAUAAGCACUCCGCCUGGGGAGUACGACCGCAAGGUUGAAACUCAAAGGAAUUGACGGGGGCCCGCACAAGCGGUGGAGCAUGUGGUUUAAUUCGAAGCAACGCGAAGAACCUUACCAGGUCUUGACAUCCCGAUGCUAUUCUUAGAGAUAGGAAGUUACUUCGGUACAUCGGAGACAGGUGGUGCAUGGUUGUCGUCAGCUCGUGUCGUGAGAUGUUGGGUUAAGUCCCACAACGAGCGCAACCCUUAUUGUUAGUUGCCAUCAUUAAGUUGGGCACUCUAGCGAGACUGCCGGUAAUAAACCGGAGGAAGGUGGGGAUGACGUCAAAUCAUCAUGCCCCUUAUGACCUGGGCUACACACGUGCUACAAUGGUCGGUACAACGAGUUGCGAGCCGGUGACGGCAAGCUAAUCUCUGAAAGCCGAUCUCAGUUCGGAUUGGAGGCUGCAACU